rnacentral:rRNA from 1 species
GCCUACGGGGCGCAGCAGUGAGGAAUAUUGGUCAAUGGGCGGAAGCCUGAACCAGCCAAGUCGCGUGAGGGAAUAAGGCCCUACGGGUCGUAAACCUCCUUUGCCGGGGAGCAAGGGCCGGGACGCGUCCCGGCCCGGAGAGUACCCGGAGAAAAAGCAUCGGCUAACUCCGUGCCAGCAGCCGCGGUAAUACGGAGGAUGCGAGCGUUAUCCGGAUUUAUUGGGUUUAAAGGGUGCGCAGGCGGUCUGUUAAGUCAGCGGUCAAAGCCCGGGGCUCAACCCCGGCCCGCCGUUGAAACUGGCAG